rnacentral:rRNA from 1 species
AUUGAACGCUGGCGGCAGGCCUUACACAUGCAAGUCGAACGAGGCGCGGACGGGUGAGUAAUGUGUGAGAAUCUGCCUGAUGGAGGGGGAUAACUUCUGAAAAGGGUAUCUAAUACCGCAAACUAUCAGAUGUGCCCAGAGGGGAUUAGCUGGUUGGGGGGGUAACGGCUCACCAAGGCGACGAUCCCUAGCUGGUCUGAGAGGAUGACCAGCCACACUGGAACUGAGACACGGUCCAGACUCCUACGGGAGGCAGCAGUGGGGAAUAUUGCACAAUGGGCGCAAGCCUGAUGCAGCCAUGCCGCGUGUAUGAAGAAGGCCUUCGGGUUGUAAAGUACUUUCAGCGGGGAGGCGUUACCCGCAGAAGAAGCACCGGCUAACUCCGUGCCAGCAGCCGCGGUAAUUC